GAAAGAGGAAAAAGAAGAGAGAAAGAAAAUUAAGGUUUUUGAGGUAGGAGGAGGAGAUCGGAUCAGAACCGACGCCGGAGAUCCGAGUCUCCAAUCUAAACCAUCAACAGCCCGAGGCAAGGUGCUCUCACAAAUCGCACCUUCCUAUUUCGUCAAAACAUCCAAGAACUUCAGCAUUAUCUGGUUAAGUUUUGGAGUGAAGGCGGCCAAGAUUGGCAUUCGAAUCGAAGUUUCAAGAAAACGUGAUUUUCGGACCUGUCAUGGAAAUUUCAGAAUUUUUGGAAUCCUUUCCGUCAAGAAAACUCGAACUCGAGAAGGCACGCGUCAACCAAGUAAGUAGCCAUUUGGAUUCCCACGAGCAGUACUUG